GACGAACGCUGGCGGCGUGCUUAACACAUGCAAGUCGAACGGUGAACCUCUUCGGAUGGGGUCAGUGGCGAACGGGUGAGUAACACGUGGGCAACCUGCCCCCGGCUCUGGGAUAACUCCAAGAAAUUGGGGCUAAUACCGGAUGUUCACCGCUUCCCGCAUGGGUGGUGGUGGAAAGGGUUUCCGGCUGGGGAUGGGCCCGCGGCCUAUCAGCUUGUUGGUGGGGUAGUGGCCUACCAAGGCGACGACGGGUAGCCGGCCUGAGAGGGUGACCGGCCACACUGGGACUGAGACACGGCCCAGACUCCUACGGGAGGCAGCAGUGGGGAAUAUUGCGCAAUGGGCGGAAGCCUGACGCAGCGACGCCGCGUGGGGGAUGACGGCCUUCGGGUUGUAAACCUCUUUCAGCAGGGACGAAGCGCAAGUGACGGUACCUGCAGAAGAAGCACCGGCCAACUACGUG
rnacentral:rRNA from 1 species